rnacentral:rRNA from 1 species
AACGAACGCUGGCGGCAGGCCUAACACAUGCAAGUCGAACGAGAAGCUUUCCUUCGGGAAAGUGGAAAGUGGCAGACGGGUGAGUAACGCGUGGGAACGUGCCUUUCGGUUCGGAAUAACUCAGGGAAACUUGGGCUAAUACCGAAUACGCCCUUCGGGGGAAAGAUUUAUCGCCGAUAGAUCGGCCCGCGUCAGAUUAGCUUGUUGGUGAGGUAAAGGCUCACCAAGGCGACGAUCUGUAGCUGGUCUGAGAGGAUGAUCAGCCACACUGGGACUGAGACACGGCCCAGACUCCUACGGGGAGGCAGCAGGUGGGGAAUAUUGGACAAUGGGCGCAAGCCUGAUCCAGCCAUGCCGCGGUGGGUGAAGAACGGCCCGUAGGGUUCGUUAAACCCCUUCAGGCGGGGAAGAUAAUGACGGUACCCGCAGAAGAAGCCCCGGCUAACUCCGUG